ensembl:snRNA U6 U6 spliceosomal RNA
GUGCUUGCUUCUGCAGCACGUAUACUAAAAUUGGAACAAUACUAAGAAGAUCAGCCUGGACCCUGUGCAAGGAUGGCACGCAAAUUCCUGAAGCGUUCCAUUUCUUU